UUAAAGUAUUUGAGUAUUAAUUGUUAUGUUCAUGAAACUCAAAGAAUCUGGCGGUUUUUUAGUCUAUUCAGAGGAAUCUGUUCCGUUAUUGAUGAUUCACGAUUAAUUUUACUUAAUUUGGUAAUUAAACAGUUUGUAUACCGCCGUCAUCAGAUUGUCUUAAGAAAGAUUAUAUAAAUUUUCUUAAAUUUUAAUAUUAGAAUUUAUGUCAGGUCAAGGUGCAGUUUAUAGUUAAGUGGAGAUGGAUUACAAUAAAUUUAUUUAAAUGGAUAUUUGAUUGAAAUAUAAAAUUGAAGGUGGAUUUGAAAGUAAUAAUAUUAAUUUAAUUAUUAUGAUUUUAGCUCUAAAAUAUG
rnacentral:rRNA from 1 species